GUGGGGAAUAUUCCGCAAUGGACGAAAGUCUGACGGAGCAACGCCGCGUGAGUGAUGAAGGUUUUCGGACUGUAAAGCUCUGUUGUUUAGGACGAAAGUGCCUGUUGCGAACAGUUACAGGUAUUGACGGUACUAAACGAGGAAGCCACGGCUAACUACGUGCCAGCAGCCGCGGUAAUACGUAGGUGGCAAGCGUUGUCCGGAUUUAUUGGGCGUAAAGAGCAUGUAGGCGGAGAUUUAAGUCUGUUGUGAAAAUGCGGGGCUCAACCCCGUAUUGCGAUGGAAACUGAAUGUCUUGAGUGCAGGAGAGGAAAGGGGAAUUCCCAGUGUAGCGGUGAAAUGCGUAGAUAUUGGGAGGAACACCAGUGGCGAAGGCGCCUUUCUGGACUGUGUCUGACGCUGAGAUGCGAAAGCCAGGGUAGCGAACGGGAUUAGAAACCCUGGUAGUCC
rnacentral:rRNA from 1 species